rnacentral:rRNA from 1 species
GGUUUUGCAGUGGGUACGGGCUAACUAGAGUGCAGUAGGGGAGACUGGAAUUCCUGGUGUAGCGGUGGAAUGCGCAGAUAUCAGGAGGAACNCCGAUGGCGAAGGCAGGUCUCUGGGCUGUAACUGACGCUGAGAAGCGAAAGCNUGGGGAGCGAACAGGAUUAGAUACCCUGGUAGUCCAUGCCGUAAACGUUGGGCACUAGGUGUGGGGGACAUUCCACGUUUUCCGCGCCGUAGCUAACGCAUUAAGUGCCCCGCCUGGGGAGUACGGCCGCAAGGCUAAAACUCAAAGAAAUUGACGGGGGCCCGCACAAGCGGCGGAGCAUGCGGAUUAAUUCGAUGCAACGCGAAGAACCUUACCAAGGCUUGACAUAUACUGGACUGCGUCAGAGAUGGCGUUUCCCUUCGGGGCUGGUAUACAGGUGGUGCGUGGUUGUCGUCAGCUCGUGUCGUGAGAUGUUGGGUUAAGUCCCGCAACGAGCGCAACCCUCGUUCUAUGUUGCCAGCACGUGAUGGUGGGGACUCAUAGGAGACUGCCGGGGUCAACUCGGAGGAAGGUGGGGAUGACGUCAAAUCAUCAUGCCCCUUAUGUCUUGGGCUUCACGCAUGCUACAAUGGCCGGUACAGAGGGUUGCGAUACUGUGAGGUGGAGCUAAUCCCUAAAAGCCGGUCUCAGUUCGGAUUGGGGUCUGCAACUCGACCCCAUGAAGUCGGAGUCGCUAGUAAUCGCAGAUCAGCAACGCUGCGGUGAAUACGUUCCCGGGCCUUGUACACACCGCCCGUCAAGUCACGAAAGUUGGUAACACCCGAA